UACGUAGGGGGCAAGCGUUGUCCGGAUUCAUUGGGCGUAAAGAGCGUGUAGGCGGCCAGGUAGGUCGGUUGUGAAAACUGGAGGCUCAACCUUCAGAGGUCGACCGAAACCAUCUGGCUAGAGUCCGGGAGAGGAGAGUGGAACUCCUGGUGUAGCGGUGAAAUGCGCAGAUAUCAGGAAGAACCCCCGUGGCUAAGGCGGCUCUCUAGUACGGUACUGACGCUGAGACGCGAAAGCGUGGGGAGCGAACAGG
rnacentral:rRNA from 1 species